GGGGAUUUAGUUCAGUGGCCCAACGCCUGCCUGGCAAGCAUGAGGUCCUGAGUUCAAUCCCCA
rnacentral:tRNA from 1 species